rnacentral:rRNA from 1 species
AUGUUUGAGCAGUUUGGUGAAUCGUUGUAUAAGGCUGGGUUGUAUGUAACUGAAGAGGUGGAACCUGGAAGGAAACACAUGGUUACUCAUGUAGACGCCGAAAGAAGGAGCAGUUGGUGCAAAUCAGUGUUCUAUGUUGUUGUUGAUAUGGACAGGACAGAGUUUGUUUGCGAGUGUGGCUUCUUUGAACAUGGUGGCAUGCUGUGUGCUCACGCGAUAAAGGUACGAAAAAAAUAA